AAGCUUUUUGCUCGCAUUAUAU
rnacentral:miRNA from 12 species